AGCGGAAACAUCAGAGCAGAAACUCAGUGCAGUGAUGUCAGUGUUUAAAAUAAACGUUGUCCCGUCAUUCUCAGAUAAAACGUUGAUCCUGUUUCAGACGGCUCCAUUUCUCUAGAGACGUUGCAGAGGCAGCAUGUUAUGAAAGGAAGAUUAUUGGACCAAAGCAGAGCAACACAUGGUUCCAGGUUGAGGUCAGGAUGGGGAACACCUCACCCAGGGUUCUGCUCUCACUCUUGCUGAACACACUGCUCUGCUGUGGACAAACUCUCGAUCCUGUGCUGACUGUUGAGUCGAACUGGUCGACUUUUUAUGAUGGAGAGUUUGUUACAUUUAACUGUAACAUGAAUAAAGCGAGAGACACUGACUGGUACCAGUUAAAAAGGAAUGGUCUAGAUUUAUUUCCCUAUCAGUCAGCUGAACGUUUCAGAGUUGGUCCUCUGCAUACUGGUGAUAGUGGUGAAUUUCAGUGCUGUGUUCGCCGGACGGCUUCAUCUUAUGAAAAGUGCAGUAAAACUGUCACUGUUACUUUCUCAGGUAAGACCUGAAUAUUUUAAAGAAUUACAAAGUUUUAUAUCAGCCCUAAAAAAACAUGCAUUUUCUAACUGUAUUUUAUUUCAUAAUUUCAAGCAGAUUUUUUUGUUGAUAAAAUAGUGUCUGAAAUAUGACACAUACAUGAUUACUGGGUUUAAUUUUUAUAAAGUUAAGUGAGCCACAAAUUUUAGAAAAGACCAAUAAAACAAAGGAAAUAUUAUUUAACUUAAUGUUAAUGAUUUGCUUAAUUGUAGAGUUACAUUAU